rnacentral:rRNA from 1 species
GAUCUGGCUCAGGAUGAACGCUAGCUACAGGCUUAACACAUGCAAGUCGAGGGGAAACGACAUCGAAAGCUUGCUUUUGAUGGGCGUCGACCGGCGCACGGGUGAGUAACGCGUAUCCAACCUGCCCAUCACUUGGGAAUAACCUUGCGAAAGUAAGACUAAUACCCAAUGAUAUCCCACGAAGGCAUCCGAAUGGGAUUAAAGAUUUAUCGGUGAUGGAUGGGGAUGCGUCUGAUUAG